GCCUUUAAACCAUCUUGGUACUUCUCAGAUUCUGGGUUGCUCAGCAGUCUGAACUGACUUCCAACUGGUGCUGAGAUUCUGGCUCUGACAGCUCUUGUUUGCCAUGUUCUGCAAGAGGCCUUUGGAUAAACAGCCUUUAUAUUCCUUAUGAGCAUAAGGGAAGAAACAUGCUGACAUUUCAACAUUCCUUCAACUCAACAGUUCAGAAUACAAUCACAACAAGAAAAGCAACAUGUGUACACACUAAUGGCCAGAGAUUUAUUUCAGUGGAUUUUCCAAGAAUUGAAAGGUAAGCCCCAAUGCUAAUUUUACAGAUUUUUGAUAAGGAGAGGUCAAAUUUUAGGAUUAAAAAAAGAAAAUACAUUUGAAUAGCAUCCAUAAGACAAUGAAGAGUUUGGGAAAAUAGCAUACAAAAUUCCCUUUACAUUUUAGUAGCAACUACAGGAGAAAACAGAUGCUGUCCUGUCAUGCAACAUAAUGUUUUAUUUCAUUUAGUUCUGGGCUUUAAUUGCAUUACUAGGGACAAAAGUCAAUCUUAGCUUAUUUCUGUAAAUUAUGUCUUCAUUACUGACAGAAACAGUAAUGAUUAUGUGUACAUAAACAGAUGCAAAAGACACAAAUAAAAGUCAUGCUAUUGUAAUUAGAAGGAUGAAAAAGUGUAUUAAUUGAAUUAAGCUUCAGUUAAUUUAAUUAACAUGCCAGGGUAUUGUGAUCAUGAGCACAUUAGAGACAUCUUAACAGUGAUGAUUUUCCAUCUCUCAUGCCCUCUUCAAAUAUAUAUUUUGUCAAACAUUAGGAAAAUGUGAAAAUUCAUAGUGUUCCCUGAAAGUCUCGACCAAGCAAUGAUGCAGAAUGAACACAAUACUUCUGCUGGUAGAAGACUAAGGAUGUCAAAGUAUUUCAAAAUAUCUAAGAUGAAGAUUACGUCUUGCAAAAGCAAUAUAUUUUUGUAUUUUGAGCUAACAAGAAUCUUUGCACUCUUGAAAAAAUUCACUUCCCAGGGAGAACAGGAAGUGUAAUCAGGCCAGUAAAUUUUCAGAAGCCUUGAACAAAUUCAAAAAAAAGACUCAGAAUAGAAACAUUCAGGCAUAUAACUUUUCCUGUUUUUAACAUACCAAUUGUAAUGUUGGCAUAUGUGAACCUGUAUAGCACUAAGCAGUCACUUUUUUUUCCCAACAAGAUAUUUUUCAUCAAGAAACAAAAAUAAAGAUCCUAUUUCAGAAAUCUCUGGUUCAGCCAACAUUAUGCCAAUAUUAUUUGGCUUCAGUUGCUAACAACUUGCAAGCUGGAGAAUUAAUAACUAGACUUCAGUUGCCACCAUUCACUAAUGAGGCUGGAACGUGACCUGUACACCUAACCAGCUGUGAAUAAAACAGAAAAAGCACAAGACUCACUUACAACUGUCAAACUAAGGCAUUUUCUUUAGUGCUAAUCCAAAGAUGGAUGAGCCCUACUGCUGCAGCAGUAUAUCAACAUUCAGCCAGUGUAAGCACCAGAGUAAAACAAGACACUGUUUACUCCAGAAGUUCUCAAUAUAUUUUUUUCUUCUUGCUUUGAACAUUUCCUAUGUUUUGCCUUGGGACCGGAUGAUAAACCCGUAUUAAUUCCCUUGGAAGACUGUAUUUACUGUAAUUGUGUAAGAUGGACCAAGGUCUUUUCUGCAUAUUUUAUAUUAUCCUUUUGCAAAUUUUUGCAUUCCUUUCUCAGCUUUAAAUCAUUGCUUUGCCAAUAGUAAUUGUGUAUGCCAAAGCUAUCAACAGUAGAAAAUUCCAUAUGUUGCUGCACAGAUAAAAUACAGACAAGAGAGCAACUCAAACCUACCUUCUUUAUAUGCACCCCUCCAACUGGAGCAAAAGAGAGGGUGGUCUAUGUAGAUUUCAUAGUUGAAUUCUAGAUCAAAAACUGUGUUUUAAUUAUAUGUUCAGUUCAAUCAGGACAUCUCACUUGUUUUCUCUCAUCUUGAAGGAAGUCUGAAAUUGUUUGUCCAGGUACAAAUUUGGUGCAUGACCACAUCAUAGACUUUCAGAACACAAAAGCUUUGUUAGAAUCCUGAAGGUUUUGUGGAAUAAAGUUGUGUCUGAGAAAGCUGCUUCGGGACUGAUAGGUUGUUCCUGGCUCCAGCACAGUGCUGAACACAUGGCUUUUGUAAAAGCAUCCCAGAAACUCCUUCUGACACUCUCUUCCUUAUUUUCCAGACCACUGAAUUCUUACUGAUCGGGAAUUGAACACUGUAGAGAUCCUUUAAACAACUUCUGGCGUUUAGACAGCAUUGGGAAGAGGGGAGUUCACAGUAGGCAUAAAAGAUUUUUUCUUUGAAGCAGUUCCUGAAUUGAUAAAGUUAUCCUGAGAUAAGCAUCCAGGGAAUUUUGUCAAUAAAGACAAUUUAGUAAGUCAAUGGGAACAACCAUAAAGAGUGCAGAAAGCACAAAUGAGUAUCUGAAAUUCUUUUUGCCCUACUAAUUCCUGGAUACCACUUCCUGUCCUUAGAAACAAGAAAAACUCAUGUAAACUGGAGUGAGGCCUUUUUUGGAGAGAGGAAUAGCCAAUACCUCCUUCCAUGGUGUAAAACCCCAAGAAAUUCUACCAAGGCUUUUCUCUGCCUUUCAUGCUCUCCACACUCCUUAAGCUUUCUGCUCAGCAGCCCCUUGAAGAGUGUGGCAUUUCCUUUGAGCUAAUGAAAUUGCAAAAAUCAGCUGUGAGAUUUGGACUGUAUAAGAUGGUUUUCUGUGAGGAAAGAGUGCAUUUUCUUUAUGGGUAAAGGAAUAAAGGUUGUGAAGAAUAAACAGUAUAAGUAGCUGUAGCUGAGGAAGACAGAAAUUUGGGAUAGGCUAUGGAAGUUACAAUAUAUGCACGUUGGGGAAGAGCAGAAGAGACAUAAAGUGCCACAGAAAAGAUGUAAGGGAAGUCUAAAAAAGUUUGAAAAUUAUGCCUUAGGGAAAAUCCAAGUUGUUUCAGUUUUCAGUUGAGAACUGUUGUAUACAGGUUUCACCCAGAAACCAACUACCGUGAAGCUCUGCUUCAAGGUAUGAGUUUACUGUGAGACAUUUUCCAUCCUUGUCAGGAUUUUGCCAACAGCAUCCUGAAAAAAAUGCUGUUUCAUUAAUCCAUACCUCACUGGGAGCUCCAGGCAUUAGGCAGAUAUUUGGAUUUCACUUCACUGAAUCACAGGAGGGUUAGAAGAGAGUUCUGGACAUCAUCUAGUCCAACACCCCCUGCCAAGGCAGGGUCACCUAGAACAGGUGACACAGGGACAUUUCCAGCUGGCUUUGGAAUGUCUCUAGAGAGGGAGACUCCAUGGCCUCCCUGUUCCGGUGCUCUGUCACCCUCAGCGUAAAGACGUUCUUCCUCACGUCAAGGUGGAACUUCUUGUGGUUUAGUUUAUGGCCAUUGCUCCUUGUUCUGUCACUGGGUACCACUGAAUGGGGUCUGGCACCAUCCACUUUUAUGACUAAACCAGGAAAUUUGGUUACUGUUCUACUAUCACAUUAUAAACUUUAGCUUUGUAUUUUUUUAAUCAUAUGAACCCUUUUCUUUUGAAUUAUGCAAUCCUAUGAUCACACUUGGUGAACAUGGAAAAAAUGCUGAACCCGGUGAAUGUGUAUAUGUAUAUACAAAGUAAUUAGCAGAUAUAAAAAACAGUAUAAGGCCUUCUUUCUUGCUAUAGUGCUAAGAAAAUUCAACAUUGAAGAAUUUAGCAAGAGUUCAUUGAUACCAAAAACACCAGAUUGCUUUGUAGUAGCAAUGUAUGAAUAACAUGAAACUGCUUCUGAGAGUCAGAAAAAGGAAUAGUUCUGGAACUCAGUUUUUCAUCUGUCUAAAUAGUAUGGAUAUGCCUUUGGGAGUUGUCAGCUCAGAAACUACAGUUGUUUAAAUAAGUAUUUUUAACUGGAGUGAAGGACCCC
rnacentral:lncRNA from 1 species